rnacentral:rRNA from 1 species
AUGCCUUGCCUGGCGCACGAGCACCAUCCCAGGCUCCCCGCCGCUAACCACUGCAGCAGGUCCCUUUCCUGCCUCGUCAGGGAGACCUACGCGCUCUGCCAUGGCCCCUGCCUCGGCAUCCCCGCCGCCGGGUGGAGCUCCGGCGACGACGACAGCGAGGAGGACGACCGCGCCAUGCUCGACACGAAAGAGGUGAUACUGAACGAGAUGAGAAAGCGGGAGAUGAGGAAGCGGCCGUCGAGCUGCGGCGUGGGCUCGCCGACUCUGUCGGGCGCCUUCGCGUGGUCCUUCACUCCGCUCCACCCGAGAAGCGUUCGCGGGAAGGCCUCGAGUAGUGAGAAGUGCGUCGCCGUGGAGGAGGAAGAGAAGUCGGCGGCGAGUGACGGGGACAACGAGAGCGAGGCGUUCUUCUCGGUGAAGAGCUUCUUCACGCGCAGCACGAGCAGGGCAGCGACCGUGGCGUCGUCGACGGACAUGGACCCGCCUGCGGCGUGGGAGGGCUUACGGGGCUGCGAGGGGUGGCCGUUCGGGCUGUGCCGCCGCUGCCCAGCACGCCGGCCGACUCGUGGCAAUGGCGCAAGCGGAGCAGCAGCAGCAGCAACCUCGCCGUCAGGCCUGACCACAGCCCGGCUCCGGCUUACAGCUUAA